AAUGGGUGGUAAAUUCCAUCUAAAGCUAAAUAUUGGCGAGAGACCGAUAGCGAACAAGUACCGUGAGGGAAAGAUGAAAAGCACUUUGGAAAGAGAGUUAAACAGUACGUGAAAUUGUUGAAAGGGAAACGAUUGAAGUCAGUCGUGUUCAUUGGACUCAGCCGGUUUUCGGUGUACUUCCUUUGAACGGGUCAACAUCAGUUUUGUCCGGUGGAUAAAGGCAGGAAGAAAGUGGCUUGCUUGCAAGUGUUAUAGCUUUCUGUCACAUACACUGGGGGAGACUGAGGACUGCAGCUCGCCUUUUGGCCGGGGUUCGCCCACGUUCGAGCUUAGGAUGUUGACAUAAUGGCUUUAAA
rnacentral:rRNA from 1 species